CCUACGGGUGGCAGCAGUGAGGAAUAUUGGUCAAUGGACGAGAGUCUGAACCGGCCAAGUAGCGUGAAGGAUGACUGCCCUAUGGGUUGUAAACUUCUUUUAUAUGGGAAUAAAACGUUCCACGUGUGGGAUUUUGUAUGUACCAUAUGAAUAAGGAUCGGCUAACUCCGUGCCAGCAGCCGCGGUAAUACGGAGGAUCCGAGCGUUAUCCGGAUUUAUUGGGUUUAAAGGGAGCGUAGGUGGAUUGUUAAGUCAGUUGUGAAAGUUUGCGGCUCAACCGUAAAAUUGCAGUUGAAACUGGCAGUCUUGAGUACAGUAGAGGUGGGCGGAAUUCGUGGUGUAGCGGUGAAAUGCUUAGAUAUCACGAAGAACUCCGAUUGCGAAGGCAGUUCACUGGACUGCAACUGACACUGAGGCUCGAAAGUGUGGGUAUCAAACAGGAUUAGAUACCCCAGUAGUC
rnacentral:rRNA from 1 species